rnacentral:rRNA from 1 species
UAAGGAAUAUUGGUCAAUGGACGCAAGUCUGAACCAGCCAUGCCGCGUGGAGGAUGAAGGUCCUCUGGAUUGUAAACUUCUUUUAUCUGGGAAGAAAUCCACUUUUUCUAAGGUGGUUGACGGUACCAGAUGAAUAAGCACCGGCUAACUCCGUG